rnacentral:lncRNA from 1 species
UGUAAAAGUCCAAUUGGUCAUUAAGUCUAAAGAACCUUAGUUUACUGACCAUAAAACAGUCUAUGUUAAAUACUUUAAAAACAAAAAUUCUGGUGUUUAAAAGACAGGAGCCAGUCAAGUAAAGUCAAACACUGUCAGCUCCUCAGACCUUCCCACGAGUCUCUGAUGCCUGAGAAUGUGGGAUAGCUUCUAGGAGCUCUGUAGUUUAUAUCUGAUCAAAUCCAGAUCCAUGUGACGUGCUUGUCUCUCUUCAUUACAAAUACAAGUUGAGGCCAUGUGCUCCUCAUGCUACUGGGGACAAAUGCUAACAUUAUCUCUUAGAAGUGGGCCAGAGCAUGGACUCUCACGGCCCCCUCCUUUUCCUUUUUUUCCUUCUCUCCCUCCUCUCCCUCCCCCUCCUCUUCUUCCUUUCCCUUCCCCUCUCGCCCUAAGCAUCUCUCACAUUUUGUGAUAUGUGAAAAUAGAUGGUGCUUCAAGGCACUUAAGAUCUUUAAUCUGCAUUUUUCGUAUUUCACAAAGUUGAAGCGCCCCAUUCUUUUAAAUAUCUUUCCAUUUUCUAUGACCUGUUUGCUGUUUUCAGUUUCCUGGCUCUAUGAUGUCAUCACUUGCCAGGGAACCCCACAUGUGGCUCAGCUUUCCAGGCACUUGUUUUUCCUGGGUGUGGGUGAGCUAUCAUGGCAGAUUUCAUAGCCACCCUUACCAGCUUAGAACUUCCCCCUUUCUCCUGGCUUCCCAUUUUACAUGUGGACUCUGCCUCAUUCACCAGCUUCUGAGGUUUUGGAGAAAAUAACCCAAUACAGAAUCAGUUCGUUUCUUGUAUUGACAGCCAGAGCUGGGACUUGAGCUGUCAUCAGGUUAAUUCUCAGCUUCAUGAAGAAAAACUUAGCCCAGCACUUCAAAGCCCGAAAAAAAUUAAACCUGCCUCUUAAUCUAAUGUUCCAAAUUUCAGAAGUGGGAAACCCUGGGCUCACAUAGGUUAUCUCAGCACCCCAUCAUCACUUACUAGUACAGAGAAAGAUGUGCUGCUCUUCUCCUGGCUCCCAAGGUAUGAGGCGUUCACAUUUCCUUUGUCUUAAGUUCAGCCUCUUCUCAGAGGUGAGAAAACAAUAAACAAAUCAUCUCAUGGACUCCUGUUGAGACACACCACAUCCCGUACCAUGGAUGGCGUCGUUCUGUCAUAGCCGAAGAGUCCAAAAAGGUAUCUCACCUUCUAGGCAUAACUCAAGGGAAAAAAUUUUUUUUUAAAAAAAAUGUUUAAAUAAAGAAAUCUACCUCAGUUGACAGGAUUCCACCUAUCCUUGGGGUUUCUUCGGCUCUCAGUCUUACCUGUUAGGUGUCACGGGGCAGCACUGCUUGUGUGACUAAGCAGGCACAGCAGAGCAGAAGUGUGUCAGUGUCCCGUGACGACCUCUUUCUAGCAUGCUGCAGUUUUAUAUUAAGUUGAUAAGUGAUAUGAAUGUAUAGGCAAUUGUGUAUGUUCUCAAAAAGGACAAUGGGAAUUUAAAAUGUAGCGUCCACACUUGUGCAUAAUCCCAAAGUAUCUUAUUUUAUCAGUGUUAAAUAGCUUUUGUACAGCUUCAGCCCAUUUUCCAGACGUGUGCUGUUUUAUACAGAAAGUAACUCAUGUUCUCACACCUCAUGGAGCUGCGUUUACACAUCGCAACUUUUUAACUUAACCAUGAUUUUUCAGAAUUAACUUUUUUGGAGGGAGGAAAUUCCCCACUUGCUAAAUAAUACUAAACAGUGUCUGGGCUCUUAAAAAUCAGGUCUUUGGAUUUUAUAAACCAGGCUGUAGCUUUUCAGGUUCCUCAUUAGUAGGAUGUAAAUACAGAAUAUAAAACAGCUCUCGUUCUUUCAGUCCGGAGUUUCCCACUGAUGCACUCUUAGGUGUUAUGUUCACACAGACUUGCGUCAUUAAACUGAAAAGGUCCGUAGCUUCUUUUAGUUAAUGUGAACCCUUUGUUUUUAUUGUGCUUGGCGGAGAAGAAUACAAUUCUUGUCUAAAUCAAGCAGCCCCCUUUGAAUGUUAAUUUUUUAAAUGUUAAAAUUUGGUGGACAUCUGGAACUUCUAUUUCCAUUAUGUUUAAAUUUCAGUGUUUUAAAAAGGAGACAACUCUGAGCUGUGUUACUAUUGAUCUUUCAUUAAGAGAAAUUGAUAGGACUGGUUUCUAAGUCAGCAGAGUGGAUAUGACUGUCAGUGUGCAGAGACUUUUUCCUAAAACAACAUUCAUGUAUUGUUUUGAUCCAUCUUUCUGUGACAUUUGGUGCAAUAAACUUUUUGAAUUUA